GACGAACGCUGGCGGCGUGCUUAACACAUGCAGGUCGAACGGAAAGGCCCUGUUUUUGUGGGGUGCUCGAGUGGCGAACGGGUGAGUGACACGUGAGUAACCUGCCCUUGACUGUGGGAUAACUUCAGGAGACUGGGGCUAAUACCGGAUAGGAGCUCCUGCUGCAUGGGGGGGGUUGGAAAGUUUCGGCGGUUGGGGAUGGACUGGCGGCUCAUCAGCGUGUUGGUGGGGUAGUGGCUUACCAAGGCGUUGACGGGUAGCCGGCCUGAGAGGGUGACCGGCCACAAUGGGCCUGAGAAGCGGGCCAGAGUCAUACGUGAGGCAGCAGUGGGGGAUAGUGCACAAUGGGCGGAGGCAUUGAGCAGCAUCGCCGCGUCGGGAAUGACGGCUGGCGGGGUGGAAAGCGCUUGCGCCUGUGACGAACCGUGAGUGACGGUAAUUGGUCAAGAAGCACCGGCUAACUACGUG
rnacentral:rRNA from 1 species